CUUCGGGGCACGGGCGGAACUCAGUCUCUCGGCCGGGCCAAGGAGCUGCGGCCCCCCACGAUCUCAUUCUCAGCUGAUCGCUCCAGGACCCCCAGCUUGUCCCCUCAGGUCUCUUACGAGCCCUGGCCCUGCACCUUGGACCUUGGUUCCAAAUCCACUCUCUAGCAGCGUGUCACGGUACUUAAACUAUGCCAACCUGCCGCCAUCCUAUGGAGCGCUGCCUACUUUAUUUUUCAAAGUGAAAGGAGCACCAGGCUUUUCUGACGCGUGGAGAACUUUCGCUAGACCCUCUUUACUUUGCAGAGCUGCCCCAGCGGAGCCCAAAUCUCUAUACCAUCAGCGCCUUGCCACUGAAUCCUUAACUGUGGGCGAACCCCAAGGCUACACCAAGUGGCUAGGUGUUGAGUGUUGGAGACAAGGAACAAUUAACAUUGAGACAAAAGCUUGGUCUUGAUCCCUUUGCUCAUCACUCCUCCAUCUCUGCAACUGGAUUCCAGGAGUUUGGCUCAAUGCUUAGCUGUGGAUCUCUGCUUCUGCUUCCAUCAGUUACUGGAUGAAGGCUCUAGGAUGGCAUUUAAGAAACACCUGACCUGAGCAAGUGGGAGCUCAUGGACCGAAGCCAGACAGCUGGGGGACCAGCAUAGAACCAAACUAGAUCUCUUGAUCUUAGGUACCAAUUAGGAGGCGUGGGCAGUCUAUGGGGCCUCUUGUGGUCUAACCAGUAUUUAUUCCAGCACGAAUGGACUUUGGGAGCCCAUUCCUCCAUGGAGGGAUACUCUCUCAGCCUAAAUACAUGGGGGGAAGGCCUAGGCCCUGCCUCAAAUGAUGUGAAAGACAUUGAUGGUCCCUCGUGGAAUGCCUCACCCUCCCUGGGGAGUGGAUACGGAGUAGGGGGAAUUUUGUGGGGACCAUGGGAGGAUGGGAGGGAGAGGGAACUGAGAUUGAUAUGUAAGAUAAGAUUGUUUCUAAUUUAAAUAAAAACACAGAAAAAAGA
rnacentral:lncRNA from 1 species